rnacentral:rRNA from 1 species
CAGCAGUGGGGAAUAUUGCACAAUGGGCGCAAGCCUGAUGCAGCGACGCCGCGUGAGGGAUGGAGGCCUUCGGGUUGUAAACCUCUUUUAUCGGGGAGCAAGCGAGAGUGAGUUUACCCGUUGAAUACGCUCCGGCUAACUACGUGCCAGCAGCCGCGGUAAUAC